AGUGAACGCUGGCGGUAGGCCUAACACAUGCAAGUCGAACGGCAGCACAGUAAGAGCUUGCUCUUACGGGUGGCGAGUGGCGGACGGGUGAGGAAUACAUCGGAAUCUACUUUUUCGUGGGGGAUAACGUAGGGAAACCUACGCUAAUACCGCAUACGACCUACGGGUGAAAGCAGGGGAUCUUCGGACCUUGCGCGAUUGAAUUAGCCGAUGUCGGAUUAGCUAGUUGGCGGGGUAAAGGCCCACCAAGGCGACGAUCCGUAGCUGGUCUGAGAGGAUGGUCGGCCACACUGGAACUGAGACACGGUCCAGACUCCUACGGGAGGCAGCAGUGGGGAAUAUUGGACAAUGGGCGCAAGCCUGAUCCAGCCAUACCGCGUGGGUGAAGAAGGCCUUCGGGUUGUAAAGCCCUUUUGUUGGGAAAGAAAAGCAGCAGGUUAAUACCCCGCUGUUCUGACGGUACCCAAAGAAUAAGCACCGGCUAACUUCGUG
rnacentral:rRNA from 1 species